rnacentral:rRNA from 1 species
UGUGCCAGCAGCCGCGGUAAUACGUAGGGUGCGAGCGUUGUCCGGAAUUACUGGGCGUAAAGGGCUCGUAGGUGGUUUGUCGCGUCGUCUGUGAAAUUCCGGGGCUUAACUCCGGGCGUGCAGGCGAUACGGGCAUAACUUGAGUACUGUAGGGGUAACUGGAAUUCCUGGUGUAGCGGUGAAAUGCGCAGAUAUCAGGAGGAACACCGAUGGCGAAGGCAGGUUACUGGGCAGUUACUGACGCUGAGGAGCGAAAGCAUGGGUAGCGAACAGGAUGAGAUACCUGGUAGUC